GCAAGAUACCACGGGCGCACGGCGGAUGCCUUGGCACAGGGAGCCGAUGAAGGACGCGGCAAGCUGCGAUAAUCCCCGGCGAGGAGCACACAUCCUUCGACCCGGGGGUCUCCGAAUGGGCGAACCCAUGCACAGCAGUGUGCAUAUCCCCCCGCUGAACACAUAGGCGGGGGGAGGACAACCCGGGGAACUGAAACAUCUAAGUACCCGGAGGAGAGGAAAUCAAUCUCGAGACUCCCCGAGUAGCGGCGAGCGAAAGGGGACCGAUGGCCAAACCGUCGAGCGGGCAUACCCGGCAGGGGUUCCGCCGACGGGGUUGCAGGGCCGCGCAUCCGGGGGCUGCCGCCCCCGGGCGCAGGUCCGGCUGGGGAGCGGAACGGCAUGGGAGGGCCGGCCGCAGCGGGUGACAGCCCCGUACGCGAACCCAGACCGGACGGCGCGACGCGGUCCCUGAGUAGGGCCGGGCACGUGAAACCCGGUCCGAACCUGGGUGGACCACCAUCCAAGCCUGAGUACUACCCUGUGACCGAUAGCGCACCAGUACCGUGAGGGAAAGGUGAAAAGCACCCCGGGAGGGGAGUGAAACAGUACCUGAAACCGUGCGCCCACGAGCAGUCGGAGCAACUUUUAGUUGUGACGGCGUGCCUUUUGUAGAAUGAGCCAGCGAGUCGCUGGCGCGGGGCGAGGUUAACCGAAAGGGAGCCGGAGCGAAAGCGAGCCUUAACAGGGCGACUUGAGUCCCGCGCCGCGGACGCGAAGCCGGGUGAGCUAUCCGUGGGCAGGCUGAAGCGGGGGUAAGACCCCGUGGAGGGCCGAACGCACGUCGGUUGAAAACGGCGGCGAUGACCUGCGGAUAGGGGUGAAAGGCCAAUCAAACCCGGAGAUAUCUCGUUCUCCCCGAAAUAGCUUUAGGGCUAGCGUCGCGCGUUCACCGCCGGAGGUAGAGCACCGGAUGGACGAGGGGGCUUCGCCGCCUACCGAAUCCAACCGAACUCCGAAUGCCGGCGGCCCAGAGCGCGGCAGUCAGAGCAUGUGGGCUAAGCUGUGUGCUCGAGAGGGAAACAGCCCGGACCGCCCGCUAAGGUCCCCAAGUUCCAGCCGAGUGGCAAAGGAUGUGCGUCCGCCCAGACAACCAGGAUGUUGGCUUAGAAGCAGCCAUCCAUUCAAAGAGUGCGUAACAGCUCACUGGUCGAGUGGACAUGCGCCGACAAUACACGGGGCUAAGCUGGACACCGAAGCGGCGGGAUUUUAAUUCAUUAGAAUCGGUAGGGGAGCUUCCCAUGGGCGGAGAAGCCGGAGGGCGACCGACGGUGGAGCGCAUGGGAGUGAGAAUGCUGGCAUGAGUAGCGAGAGACGAGAGAGUAACUCGUCCGCCGUGAACCCGAGGUUUCCUGGGCAAGGCUAAUCCUCCCAGGGUCAGUCGGGGGCUAAGGCGAGGCCGGUAGGCGUAGCCGACGCGCAGCAGGCAGACAUUCCUGCACCGCGCACGCGGCGCUACGACCGACGGGGCGACGGAUGGGGGUGGCUCGGCGGGGUUCUGGACGUCCCCGUGAUGGAGCGCGGCCCGCGGACCAGGGAAAUCCGGUCCGCAGAAGGGCGAGGCUCCGGACGAAGCACUUAAGCGAAGCGAGUGAGCCCGAGGUCCCUAGAAAAACCCCUAGGCAGGCGCGUGCGCGCCCGUACCGCAAACCGACACAGGUGGGUGGGUAGAACAUACCGAGGCGAUCGGGUCAACCAUGGUCAAGGAACUCGGCACAAUGGCCCCGUAACUUCGGGAGAAGGGGUGCCCGCGCGUACGUGAACGGACUUGCUCCGGGAGCGGAGGCGGGCCGCAGUGGAGAGGCCCAAGCGACUGUUUACCAAAAACACAGGACUCUGCAGAAGCCGCAAGGCGACGUAUAGGGUCUGACGCCUGCCCGGUGCCGGAAGGUCACGCGGAGGAGUUAGCCGUUAAGGCGAAGCCCCGAAGCCAAGCCCCGGUAAACGGCGGCCGUAACUAUAACGGUCCUAAGGUAGCGAAAUUCCUUGUCGGGUAAGUUCCGACCUGCACGAA
rnacentral:rRNA from 1 species